AAGUGCUAAGAUUACAAGUGUGUGCCACCACCCUUUUACAGUAAAUCUGCAAAGGAGAUAAAGUCAAUAUCUCAAAGAGAUACCUGCAUUCCCAUGUUCACUCCAGCAUUGUUCAGAGAGCCCAAAACAUGGAAACAACUGAAUCUCAUACACCAAAAAGAAAAAGGCAAGGAAACUGAUAACCUUCACAGUGAGAUGCCAUUUGAUGACUGAAGUAAGGCCAUCAGAGCAGGCUUGUUGGAAGGGGUGGCAUGUGAGCUACAAGCAUUGAAGGACUGAAGGUCUUCUGAAUGGACCAGGGUGGAGAUCCCUGGUAUACGAGGGUUGCACCUGUAUCUAAUUACACCAGCCCCAUCCUCUGGGAGAGAGAAACAAGGAUUGUUAACUUUCCUAUUCAUUUCUCCUCUGAGGCCCUCAUUUUGAAGCCUUUAAUGGUAACCAGUUCUUUUCUUCAUACAACUGGCUUUUUUCCCACUGCAGAUUGCACUGCAGUUUUCCUUAACUCCAUGUAGCCUGUGACCUCCUUUCCAAUUUACCAAUUCUGAUUCACAUGCUCCCUCUUUCUCCCACAGAGAAGAAACAGCCAAUGUUUGGACUUCCAAAACUUCUUGGAAAAGGGCCGAGCAUCCACAAAGUCCAGAAUAUUAUUGCAUAAAUUAAAACGUUCACAUGCUAUCAACCAUGCAGUUACUCUAACAUUUAUUUUGGAAAAUAUUACAUUUGGAAAAUGGGAAGUAUUCCAGAGUAUUCCCUUACUUUGAAAUAUCAGUAGACAUAAGGGGAUUUUGAGAUCAUUUCUUUCUCAAAAGUUAGCAAAUAAUCUGUACAAAUACACACAUAAAAUUGCCUUAAAUGACACUGGAUAAAGACACAGGGGCUUACAAAGUUCCUAUAGCGUAUUUAUUGAGAAAUUAAGUACAAAAGGCUGCAAUUCCAACUCCCUAAACAAAGUUUUAAAAUGCCUGUGAGUUAACUUCUACUUGGAUCUUAGUGCACAUUUCUCUUCCAAUCACUGAUGAUUACUUGCACUGUUUCCAGGACCUCACAUGGUUAAAACCCCAGCCCUCUGACUACAAAGCAGCAAGCAGUCUAGAGCCCUACAGAGAAGAUGUCUAUAUUGUAAAGGCUCAGGCACCCAAGGGUCUGAAAACUCUGUAUGUAUACUUCUCCCUCCUUAUCCUCUUCCAUUUUUUUCUUUUCAGUUUGAUUUUGCAAUGCUAAUAUCAUAAGAGGAGAUAAUCACAGGGGCAGGGAUCUUGCUGAAAUAUCUCUUUCUUUAUAAUGGCUUUAUUCCCAGUGACUAUGAUAUGUGUGCAGUGGCUAAAAUACAAGUGAGAUUGGUGGCCCUUGAGAAAAAUGUCCUGGAAUGAUGGAUAGAAUCCAGUCUUUCUUGUGUGCUCUUUCAGACUUUGAAAUUUAAUAAGGCCCGAAACUCAACAUUGUCCAUCUCCUAUAUGAAAAAAGAAAACACAAUGCACUCUGUGUGUGUGUAGAGAAAAAAAUAUGAAGACUUAUACCAACAAAUAACAAUGGUUAGCUCUCAAAAAGAAAGUGUACUUAGAUGGGGGUAAAGGCAGACUCUUGAAUUAUAUGUAGAUCUCUUUCUUUUAGUUUCUACAUUGAGAAUGUAUUCUUGUAGUGUGUAAUUAAACAUAAAGAAACUAAUUACAAUAAAAUAAAAAUUUUGAAAGAUCCAUAUAGAAUUCUAGGUUCUAAUACAGAAAGUUGGCCAAGAAAUGUCAAGUUAAAAAUAGCAAGUUUAAAGUGGUAUCAUAAAUUCAAUUAUUGGGGAAAAUAUAAGUAAUUAUAAACACACUGAGAGUAUAUGCAUAGAAAAAGUGAGGAACAGACAAGAAAUUAUAACUGUGAUUAUUUCUGGGUGAUGGAAUUAAAGGAGAUUUUAACAUUCCAUUUUAUAGUACCUACAACAUCUGAAAUUUCAGUAGUAGCAUAUAUUAAUUUUUCUAACAAAGUAAUUGACUGAAAUAGUAUUAUGCCCCUGUUUACUUGAUAUUGACCUCAAAAGACUUCCUGGCUAGUUUUAAUGGACUAACAUAAAGAGCUAAUCACACUUCAAUUCAAAAGAUUAUGUUCAUGGUAAUGAUAAUGUUCAUAAAGAUUCCAGCUUUCACAUCUGUGUCUAUUUCUACAAAUUACUCCACAUAUUCUAGCUCUUUUUCUCAACCCUUGGCUCCUCUGCUGAAGUGUCAUUUACUCAAAAUAGGAAUAGUAACUGGCUUUUCUAAGUAUUUGCCUUAGAUCUUAAUAUAAUAAAUAGCAGGUGUUUAAUUAAAAGGUUUGUUUCUCCAGGCUUUUGUAAGGGAAGUUUUAAAUCCAGUUAACCUCAAACAUGGCUACUAUCAGAAUUACCUAGGGGAGCAAAUAAAAAAUGCAGAUACUAAAACCCCACUAUAGCUAUUCUCAAUCCAAAUCUAAUAGAUGGUUCUUUGUCUUCAUCUUUCCUCUUCCUUUCCCUUUGUUUUCCAUCCUAAGCAAUUCAGUUCAAAGUCAUUAACUGGAUCUGAACUUCAUAGACAUGUUGGUGGUAUAUAUGGACACUCAGCCUUGGGUGACCAAAGCCUAAGCUGAGUGAGAGGUUAUCUGCAUGGGAAAGUGAUGAGGCAUGAUGUCAGAGCCUGAGCACAGUAAACACAGCAUACACACAGGAAGUGAUGCAGUGGUGGCCUGGAAUGGAGUACCAUAGUCUAAAGGUCAGAAGGGUAUCCCCAUGUGGGUAAGGUGACUCCAAGCUAGAUGAGGGGUUGUGGAUAGCAACUUUCUGCUUGGAUACAAUGUUAGUGCCUGAGAAGAGUAAGAAAGUUAUCAGCAUGGGUAUUGAGGACCCAGGGAGAGAGAAUUAGUAAGUAAAUUUAUUGAUAAGAGAUCUCUUAUUGUCAAACAGUUAUAAAUAUGAAACAGGAGAAAACCAUAAUUAAUGGAUAGAUAAAACUAAAAUGAAUCUUCUGGUGUUGGACUAGAAUGGUAAGAUUACAGAGUUCUCAAUACAGAAAUAAAUACAGAUUGUGUGUGUGUGUGUGUGUGUGUGUGUGUGUGUAUGUGUGAUUAUCUUUGUCCACUUCUAGGGUUGGAAACAGCAGCACCCCAAUAGCUUGGGAUUUAGCAUCUGUUAUCUUGAUGUCUACAUAGUUGACUAAAGGGAAUCAGAAUUCUUUGAAAAAUUGGCUGAUUCUAGUGCCAGGGCAGUGAAAGUAAAACAUGAAUUUGGACAUUUUGUGCAAAAAAUCCCCAGAUUACUCAAAGAAUACACAUGUCUAAAGAGCACAAAAUCCAGUUUAAAGUAGCUUCUAUUGGUUAUAGCAGGGACAAUUUGAGCAUCAAGAUGAUUAAGAGUAUUAGUGGACUAUAAUCACUGGAUAAAAUAGGAAUCCAUGUGUGUAUAGUAAUAUAAAUAAAUAAAAUGAAUAAGUUGAAAGUUUGAUGAACAGGAUAUUCACACAGCCUUAAGGUACUUCCUUGUGGGACAUAAACUGGGUUACAACAACCCAUCCCAUACUUUUCUACUAUACAUUUGUACUUUAGCAUAAUAGUAGCUGGCUGUGUAGCUCAGUAGUUGUGCCUAGGGGAUAUACUAAGAAAUCUUUGUGUUUAUCCACUUGAUGACGACGAAUGGCAAGCUGUGCACAUGUGUAAAAGUGUCAAACUGGGAUUUUUACCCACAUAAUACUCUAACAAGUUUUGUGUAUCUUUACCUGAGCAUCACAGGGGUUAAAAUAUACCCACACCACACUUCUGUUAUGAAAACAUGUAUUUUACCAAAUGGAAUGUGGGUGUGACUCACAGUAGCUGCACCUGGGAAAAGCAAAAACCCAUCUGUGCAUUCACCCACUUAGCAGACAAAUGGCAAGGUGUGUACAGGAUCUCUAAAGCAGUAACAGGUGAGUUUUAUGCAUGAAAUGUUCACCACUAAAUUUCUGUGCAUUUAGGAUUUUUUUUUCGGGGGAUCGAACUUGGGACCUUGCGCUUGUGAGGCAGGCGCUGGAACCACUGAGCUAUAU